UCCUCCAUCGAAAUCGAAAACCUAACUUCGUCGUCAUAGAUCUCUCUUCAUAUCUGUCUUUCUCUAUCCGCUAUUCAUCUCUCUCGGACCCGGAAAGCCCAAGCGGGUUAUGACUGUGGGUGAGCUGAUGAGGAUCCAAAUGGGGAUCUCUGACGCUAUGGACUCUAGAGUCAGGAGAGCUCUGCUUAGGAUUUUUGCUUCUCAGGUAGGAAGGCAAAUUGAGUCAGUGGUAGUCCCACUGGAGCAGCUCAAGUCCUCUGAUUUUACCGAUCAACAAGAAUACGAUACCUGCAAAAUGAAAUAAAAGAGCUUUUCUAGUAAUGAACUUCACUUUUGGACAGACACACACGCACGCACAAACAAUUUAUAACUGCAUUCAUCUUGUAUAUUGUGGAAAUAGAAGAACCUGACCCUUAUAUAUUUUUGAUCAUAUCGAACCUUUGUAUCUUUUUGAUCAUAUCGAUCUUUAUACCUUUUUUAUCAUAUGGGACCUUUAUAUCUUUUUGGUGCGGUUAGACCUUUAUAUUUCAUUUGUUGACUCCUUUAGUAUCUUUUAGUCUACUUCCUCUAGUCACCCCUCAAGAGAGUAAUGCAAACUGAAAACCAUAUGCUUAUAUUUCAUAGUUUAAGAUUCUUCCAGUUGGUGUUGAAUCAAAAAAUGCCAUUGACUUUCGGAACACUCUAUGUAGCAUAUUCGUGAAGAGCUUAUGUGCUGUUGAAAGUCCUGCUACUGCUAGUAGCGAGGCUCGCAACAGCACGCAGUGAACUUCCAAAGGCAAGUGGUAUGUAAACUAGUAAUAUGAAAUUAAUCUCAGCCUUAUUGACAACCAGUCAAGCACAUGGUUUCAUAAUGUGUCAGCAAUUGAAUGGCUUUCUUUCAGACUAAAUCUGCUAUCCAACUUUGUUUUUGUGUUCUCAUUAGUUUUGUUGGUAAUGAAUCUGUAGGUAUGUUACCUGCAUAUUUUUGAAACAAAUUGUCCCAAAUUGUCCCAACUUUUGUAUGAGACACAGGUAUGACAUUGAUUAUGGUUAUGUGAAACAAUGGCAGUACAACUCGUCAACUGGCAUGUAUUCCCUCGUUGUUGUUCAAAUUAGCAAGUUGCUCAAGUGCUUCUCACACAGCCAUAUUCGUUUUCCGAACUGGG